CAGUCGCCGCGGUAAUACGUAGGGUGCAAGCGUUAAUCGGAAUUACUGGGCGUAAAGCGUGCGCAGGCGGUUUGUUAAGACAGAUGUGAAAUCCCCGGGCUCAACCUGGGAACUGCAUUUGUGGCUGGCAAGCUAGAGUAUGGCAGAGGGGGGUGGAAUUCCGCGUGUAGCAGUGAAAUGCGUAGAUAUGCGGAGGAACACCGAUGGCGAAGGCAGCCCCCUGGGCCAAUACUGACGCUCAUGCACGAAAGCGUGGGGAGCAAACAGGAUUAGAUACCCCCGUAGUCCCUGUCUCUUAUAC
rnacentral:rRNA from 1 species